UACGUAGGUGGCAAGCGUUGUCCGGAAUUAUUGGGCGUAAAGCGCGCGCAGGCGGCCUUUUAAGUCUGAUGUGAAAGCCCACGGCUCAACCGUGGAAGGUCAUUGGAAACUGAAAGGCUUGAGUACAGAAGAGGAAAGCGGAAUUCCACGUGUAGCGGUGAAAUGCGUAGAGAUGUGGAGGAACACCAGUGGCGAAGGCGCUUUCUGGUCUGUAACUGACGCUGAGGCGCGAAAGCGUGGGGAGCAAACAGG
rnacentral:rRNA from 1 species